UACCCGCAGCACAAGUGGUGGUCAUUAUUAUUGGGCCUAAAGCGUCCGUAGCUGGCGUGUUAGAUGCCUGGGUAAAUCGAAGCGCUCAACGUUUCGAAUUCCGGGCAGACCGGCACGCUCGAGACCGGGAGAGGUGUAGGGUACUCGGGGGGUAGGGGUAAAAUCCUGUAAUCCUCCGGGGACGACCAGUGGCGAAGGCGCUACACUAGAACGGCUCUGACAGUGAGGGACGAAGCCCUGGGGCGCAAACCGG
rnacentral:rRNA from 1 species